UGUCAGUUUGUCCACUAGAGGGCGACGCACUACUAGAGACCAAUAGGGAGGAUUCUCCAUGGGAUGGGAUGGGCUGCUGAAAACCAGGAAACUGGAGCGCUCUACUAUCAGGCUUCAUUACUUUCCAGUCGGCUGUCUGCACCUGUAGUGUCUAAAAAUGGACCGGUUCAGGGAGGUAUCUGCCUCUGAGAAGGAAAGGAAGCCAGCAUGGGAGGAGAGUGAAGAGGCAUCCAGCACCUCUUCUGGAAUUUGGACCCUGUCUGAUGAGGAGUGUCGUGAUCUGGAGACUGAGAUCUCUUGGCCGGAGGAGAAGCUGAGGU